rnacentral:rRNA from 1 species
GACGAACGCUGGCGGCGUGCCUAAUACAUGCAAGUCGAGCGGAACUGGGGGAGCUUGCUCCUUCCAGUUUAGCGGCGGACGGGUGAGUAACACGUGGGCAACCUGCCCUGCAGAUCGGGAUAACUCCGGGGAACCGGUGCUAAUACCGAAUAGUUUGGCGCCUCUCCUGAGGCGCUACGGAAAGACGGUUUCGGCUGUCACUGCAGGAUGGGCCCGCGGCGCAUUAGCUAGUUGGUGGGGUAACGGCCCACCAAGGCGACGAUGCGUAGCCGACCUGAGAGGGGGACCGGCCACACUGGGACUGAGACACGGCCCAGACUCCUACGGGAGGCAGCAGUAGGGAAUCUUCCGCAAUGGACGCAAGUCUGACGGAGCAACGCCGCGUGAGUGACGAAGGUUUUCGGAUCGUAAAACUCUGUUGUGAGGGAAGAACACGUACCAACUAACUAUUGGUACCUUGACGGUACCUCACCAGAAAGCCACGGCUAACUACGUGCCAGCCGCCGCAGUAA